UUUGUCCUACGGGGCGCAGCAGUGAGGAAUAUUGGUCAAUGGCCGGAAGGCUGAACCAGCCAAGCCGCGUGAAGGACGAAGGUGCCAAGCAUUGUAAACUUCUUUUGUCAAGGGACAAAAUCAGGCUCGAGAGCCUGACCGAGGGUACUUGAAGAAAAAGCAUCGGCUAACUCCGUGCCAGCAGCCGCGGUAAUACGGAGGAUGCGAGCGUUAUCCGGAUUUACUGGGUGUAAAGGGAGCGCAGGCGGCGUGGCAAGUCAGACGUGAAAACCCGGGGCCCAACCCCGGGAGUGCAUUUGAAACUG
rnacentral:rRNA from 1 species